UCCUCUACCUUUCACUCUUCCCAUGUCCUAGAAGGUGAACAGGGUCCCCUCUUGGGACAUGUGAACGAGGGCAACAGCCCGGCAAUUAUGGAGCAACAGGACGGAAGGAACCUGCCACUGGAUGGCUUAUGUGUGGGAAAACGGAGGCUCAGCCAGACGAUGGCUGACGCAAGCUGAGGACAGCAGGAGUGGGAAUAAAGGGACCCUCUACCCCUUGCGUGGAGGAAGGAGCUGGCAGGCAGGAGUUGUCCGUCUCAGGUAGCAGGCCGCCCCGGAACCGAAUGGAGAGAGCGCAGCCCAGCCUGGUGCCCUGGAUGGAAGGGGGCACGCUGGCCCAGAAGGAAAGCGGCCGGCGAUGUAACCCGCGGGAGCAGCGUGACGCGAGAGGAGAAGUCCCAUCUCCAGAGGCACCCAGGGCCUUUGAGAGGAGUAGGAUCAGGAUCAGGAACACAAAGGGAGGAAUUGACGUUCAGCUUUUGACUGAAGAGGAGCCUGCCGUCCUUGGACAGACAAUUGUCUUGAAAACCAGGCUUUGUUGAGAGGUGGGGCGGCUUUCUGAGUCCCAACGUCCUCUUUGCACAUCAAGAGCCCAGCCGGCUGCCUCUGAGAUCACAGAGGAGUGCGGAGAGGACGGAGGGGAUGGAGAGAGGGGGAGCCCGCCAGGAAGGAGGGGAGGCGGGGCCUGCCCUCACAGGGUCCUGGUGAGGAGGGACAGGUGAGGACAUGGCCUGGGCCCCCAGGAGUGGGGAAGAGACUAGACCACAGAGACAGGACAUCUGUGCUCUGGUCCACUUUGCCACUUACCAACGUGGGGAUGGAGGUGAGAUCGUGGGGGUGGGAACCUGACAUGGGUGGGAGGGGGGCCUGGUUAGGCGAGGCUGACCCAGCACUGCUGUGUGGGGUGACCAGGAGGUCCAGAAUUGCAACCCCCAAGAUCAACAGACCAGCAGAGAAGGGCACCCUGUGGCCAGGGACAGGGGGGAAUCCCUGGACCAGGUGAGUCACACCUGGUGAGUCACGGAUGGGAGACCCCCCCCACCCCCCAGGAAGCUCGGCCAGCUUCUCCACACCUACCUACCCCAUUGCCGUAUUCGGAGGAGAAGUGGGAAGGGGAAGCCUGAAGCACUGAGCAUUCAUUCCAAAGCAACUGAAUUGCCUCCUGAGAGACCACAUGAAACUGGAAGGGGAAGUCAUAUUUAAUGACAAUGAACUUGCCGGUUAACAGCCCCUCUCCCCACCUCCUCCCUCAGUGGGAGGGUGCUGGAAUGUUUGUGAGAAGUCAGAAAGCGGCCUUCGCUCUUCCUUUGUGCAUCUGAGUCUGCUGUGCAGUUUUGAGCUGUGGAUAUCAGGAGAAGGGCCUGUCCGUCUUUACGUGUGUUCUUCCCUCUCCCUGGUCAGGUUUUGUCUUGUCAGUUAUGUGCACAGAGGCUGGCCGUGGGGGCAGGCGGCACACAGCUGGUAACUCCCUGGGCCUUUACGAAGCGUCACACAUGUUGUCGUGUUUGAUGGUGUCAAGGAUGAACUCCCUCUUUGUGGCACCUGAAGCUCCGAGAGGUUAAGCAGUUCGCCCAAGGUCACACAGCGAACUGACCACAGAGCUGGGAUCUGAACUUGGGUCUUCAGGUCGCUGAAGCCAUGCGCCUCUCACUGGCACAGGCUCUGUGGAAAGUGCCACAGCCACGUGAUUGAUAACGGUGGUUACAGGCCAUGAUCUACUUGGGGACCUCCCAGCAUAUGUCAGGGGACAUCCGUGGUGAUCAGUCAGGGGCCGCGUGGGAACUGCCUGCUGGCUCCCGGGCGUGUCACGGCCGUGGCUUCCAGUCAUCACUCUUUCUGCGGUGCAUUAGGGCGCCCGGAUGAAAAGCCUCCAACACACCUGGCAAAAUGACGCGCAGGAAAGACUCAUGCAUCUUGCUCCAAUUAAGAUGUUGGGAGAGAAGAGAAUCUAAUUGUCCCACAAUUGCCUUUAUUUAUCAAACUCGGAAUGAAGUGUGAUUGCGAAGUGUCUCAGGAGAGCUUGGUAGAGUUGAGAUGGUCUAGGAGGCUCUGACAGGCAUCCCAGCCACUGCAGGACACAGGCCGACCUGUGCGGGCAUCUGGGGAGAGCCUCCUGGUCCCGCGGAUGAGCAGGGUGAGGUCUGGCUCCUGCCUUGUUUCUGGCUUGCGGGGAGCUUUGAAUUUAUCCUUCCCCGUCCUGGGUCUUCGCUUCUUCCUGUGGAAAAUGGGGAAGGAAGAAAACAGGAGACUCAUCAGCAGACUCCUCCUCUAUGACUGAUGCUGUGUCCACACUUUCACAUAUGUUGUAAGAUCCCUUUCUAUCUCACAAAAGUCACCUCCUCCAGGAAGCCCUCCUUGGAGCCCCCAGGUUGGGUCAGAUGACUCUCUUUAUACUUCCAUUCUAUGGAUUUUGACGGGGUCUUUACUGUCCUAGGGGUUGAAUGGUCCAUCUCUUUGCUUGCACUCUGAACUCUGGAAAAACCAAGAAAAAAAAUUUUUUUUUUGUAAUCCUCCCCCAAGGAUAGUUUUCCAUUGAUUUUUAGAGAGAGUGGAAGGGAAGGGUA